UACGGAGGGUGCAAGCGUUCUCCGGAUUUACUGGGUUUAAAGGGUGCGUAGGUGGGUCUGUAAGUCAGUGGUGAAAUCUUCAAGCUUAACUUGGAAACUGCCAUUGAUACUAUAGGUCUUGAAUUAUCUGGAGGUAAGCGGAAUAUGUCAUGUAGCGGUGAAAUGCUUAGAUAUGACAUAGAACACCAAUUGCGAAGGCAGCUUACUACGGAGCGAUUGACACUGAGGCACGAAAGCGUGGGGAGCGAACAGG
rnacentral:rRNA from 1 species